rnacentral:lncRNA from 1 species
GAUUUUUUAUGAAUAUGGUGAGUUUUUCAGUGUGAAAACCCAAAAAAGUACCAAAUCCAGCGUAUAAAGAGCCCUGGAAGCGCAAGGUGUGAACAAAUCAUUAAUUAUGUAGUUUGAGCAGUAUGCAUAAUUCCAAAUUAAUUGCAAUCACUAACCUUGGAAGAAGUGCAACAGAAAAUCAAGAAUCCUAACUACAAGGGGAAUUGGAAGAUUCCUUGGAUUGAUAAUCCGUGUAAGUUUCCUUUCAAUGAAUCCAAGUAGUAUUAAGUGGCCGCUAUCAGUUCUAAUGUGUCCACACCAUGUCAUGUUAUGGUUCAGACAGUUUAGCUCUCAGCCAAAUUGAAUCUGUUCCUUCUGCCAAUGUGGAGAUUAAUUAUUAUACAAGAGCAAUGAACUAAACAGAUAUUAUUUUAUGUAAACACUAGCCUUUUUUCUUUUCUCCCAAUGUUCAUUGAAACUAGGAACAUCGAAUUGCAUCACUCUAUUUACUGCUGCUUUAUUUAUCAAAUAUAAAGGGGCUUUGAGACGUUAUUAUACUUUCCAGCCAAAUUAGAAUGCUAUUUUAUGGGAAAAAGGGGUCCUGGCACAUAUGUAAUAGAACAGUUACUUUGUGCUGUUUACUGCUGGAUUCAAUUCUCCAGGUAAAGAUUCAUUCACACACUCAUCUUCUUCGAAUUUGGGAAGGGGGAGAUGCUGGUAACCUCAUUGCUUUUCUUCUUCCCUUCUGCAGAGUUUGAAGAUAAUCCCGACCUCUAUGUAUUGAAACCAAUAAAAUAUGUAGGCUUCGAAGUUUGGCAGGUAAGAACCAAGCUAUUAUUUUAUUUUGUGGAAUUUUCAUUUAUACCUUGUUUUCACAUAUUCCUGUUUGAAAUUUAUACUGCUAUAUCCUCCAAUUUAUUCAAUGGUCUUGAAUUUGAGAAGUGGUCUGAAUAUUGCAAGACAAUUAGGCCUCCUGGGUUGUCUUUUGGUGAAUUUCAAACAUUGUAUCCGAUACCUUUAAGAUCUCUUAUGUGGCUUGCAAAUAUAUGGUAGUAGUGCUAUGUCGAGUGAAAUUGUUCUUUUCUUUGGUCUCUCUUUAGAAGUGGAAUUUUGGUUCUGAUCUCAUAAGGUUAUACUAGUUUUAAAAAAUUACUGUUUGCUGUCGAUUUUGAAUAUCAAGAAAUGGACACUUACGAAACUGCAUUCCACUCUUAUUGUAAAAAUGAUACUUUCUGGUUCACUGGCUUGUGAAAACAGCAUAUACUCAGUAUUGACAGUGUCAACACACUAAAAGUGCAGCCCAGAUCGAAAAGCCCAAAGAAUGAAGCCCAAUUGGGUAAUUCAGGAUAAAAUGCUGAAAUAGGGCUAGUAAUGAAUGCAGUGGAAGUCCACGAAUGUGGUAACACCAUCGCCCAAACUUGGAAGAUGCCCAAGAUCUGAGCGAAUGAAGUGCCUUGCAGUCACCCAGAGCUAUGACCCUAUUUUCGUCCAAACCUUCGAAUUGCCCAGGAUCUUAACUAACAUAAGAUGUUAUGGUUAUCCAGAAGUACAUUUAUUGAAGCAGCUUAUCACGUUCCACGAUUCAAGGAGUUCAUUUGAAGACGGUUAAACGACAAAGAGUAGUGACAGCAGUUAGAGACGACAGUUCCACGACACGAUGGCCACCAUAAAUGAAGUGGGUAGUUAUAAAACAAUCAAGUAGUUUCUAAGCGGUUGAUCAUGAAGAAAUCAUUAAGGGAAUAUAAAAGGAAGAGAAGAUAUAGAGAAAACGACCCCGGAAUCAAAUACUCUCAAACAGAGAAUAUGUAAUUUCAAUUUCUUAUUUUAGACUUAAACAUUUCUUUUCAGUACUCGUGUACUUGCGCCCCUUGGAGGCAUUCUGUUUAAAUUCCAAUUGUAAAGUCAUCGCCAACAAAACACCCAUUUUGGAACUUUGUCUCAAGAGGUUUGUUCCUUACACAAUCGUCUGAUCCCUUUUUAAUGUUAGUGACUACUCGCGCGAAACAAUUUGGCACGCCCAGUGGGACUUUGGUGUUUGGUGUUGAAGAUACAAAAAUGUGAAACAAUAUGCCUCAGAAAUCUGAUAAGGAAGUAUCAAGUCAUGGAGGAGUUCAGUCUGUGAUCAAGCGAUAUGAGGAGCAGCAUAGCUCCUCACGAAUAGAUGGACAGAAUCAGAGCAAUCAUAGUCGUUACGAACCAAUGACAGAGUUGAGUCCUCGAACCAUGCGUGCAUUACUUGGAGAACUCACACAAGAUGUCGUUGAACAGGUAAAUCUACGAAGUAUCCAUAAUAUGGAAAGAUUUACCCAGAAUGGAAAUGCACAUUAUGACAAUAUGGCCAAACAACUGAAUACUUUGAAUGAAAUAAUGAAUAAGUUAGUAGGCCAAAUUUGUCAGCCAGUUGUGCCUCUUGCAAACCACUUUCAAAUUAGGACAAUUGUUGGACAUAAUCCCCCAGUCCUAAGUUUAAAUCAAAGGGUAAAACCACCUUUUGAUCCCUCUACUUCAAACCAAGGAGGUGGUGUAAUACCAAAUCAGAAUAGUGGCAUUGGUACAUCUAACUUGGGGGUAACCUAAAUGUAAGAGAUAAUAUCCUAAAUAAUGGGCAGAAUACCCCAUGUGUUAAUGAUGAAAUAAAUGUUCAGGCUAAUGGUAACAAUGGCCCAAAUCAUGGCAACUUUGUUGCCAACCAAGGACCAAAUAUCAGGCCUCAAGCAAAUCAACCGGUUAAUCAACUUGUAAGAAUUCCAUAUGACCCCAACGUCAUGUUGAUGAAUCAGAUUAUGGAAAUCGUACAGGACCAGAUGGCUUUUGGAGUACGUCCUGUCAUUAGGCCGCCUUAGACAAAGCUAUAUCCUGAUUGGGUAGACCAAGCAUACACAUGGCCUAGAGGGUAUAAAGUGCAAGAAUUCUCACUGUUUAUCGGUUUAGGAGAGGUGUCUGCUCUAGAAUACAUAGGGCGAUUCACACUGCAAAGUGAUGACGUAACUGAUUACCAUAAAAUGAGGUUGUUCCCUAGUUCAUUAACAGGAAUAACCUUUUUCUGGUUCAUCAAUUUGCCAGCAAACUCUGUUCAAACAUGGUAACAAUUGAAGCAAUUAUUCCACGCUCAGUUUUAUAAGACUGAGUCUGAAGUUACUUUGGUCAAUUUGGCGAAUCUACGUCAAAUGCCAAACGAAUGGGUAGAAGGUUUCCUUCAAAGGUUCAAAACAGCAAGAAGUAAAUGUUUUGUACCUUUGCCCGAAAAGGAAUUUGUCAAAAUUGCUCAAGGUUGUCUAAGCUUUGAUUUGAAGAAGAAGUUCCAAGAUAAGGAAUUUCCUAAUCAUUUCCAAUUGAGCGCGAACGUGAUUAGGUAUGAAUGAUUAAUAAGAGAAGAAUAACAAAUGAAAAAUUCUUGCAAGGGGACUUAUUAUAGAGACCCAAAUUUUGAUGUAUAUACCAUUAAUGACGAGUAUUACGAUCAAACCAAAAUGUGUUUGGUCGAAUUAGUUAAAGGAGACACAUGUACUUGUCCUAUAAUAGCUAAGCUUGACCGUCGGGUAAGGAUGAGCCUAUAAAAGAUGAAAACAUAAAUGCUAGAACGUUCUCGUUCGAUGUAAUUAAAGCUGACCUUAUAUUUGAUAAAUUAUAUAAGGAUAAGCAGAUAAAGCUGAGCGAUAAGCAUAAAUUGCCAAGCCCUGAACAAGUUAAGGGUAAAAAAAUAUUGUAAGUGACAUAAUGCAUAGUCACAUUUGACUAACAACUGUUUGGUUUUUUGCCAUGUGUUACAGGAUGUCAUUGAAUUAUGAUGAAUUACGUUCGAGGAUAUGAGGAAGAUGGCAGUGGAUGGAAAUCCUUUUCCACAGCCACUUGGAGUGAAUAUGGUGACGUCUGGUUUCAAAAACAAGUUGCUAAAAUUCAAGUUGGUUAUAGAUGAUGGAGAAGAAGACCCUGUACCACAUCCCAGUGUCUUUGAACGUAUCAAAGGGAAGGAGCCCAAAAAGGACGAAGACGUCCUAUGUGCAAGAUGCAAAAAAAAAAGUGAGUGCAAAUGCAGAGAAACCAGGGAUAUGGCAGCAUCAUCAUCGCUCUAGUUUUUUCCCAAAUACUCAGCCUGGUAGAGGGCGGGGUACAUUGUUCUAUAAGGGACCGCCUUUUGAGAGGCAGUUCAGGUCAGUAAAUAAUAGGAGAACAUUCAAACCGCAACCUCGCCAACCAAAUGUAUGACAUUCGUUCCAGUAUAAGGCUGGAAGGGCGAUACCUUUCAACGAGAUGACUAGAACCCAACAAAGGCGUUUUCAACGGAACUAUGGGCGAAUGAUGAGGCAACAACAAGGAAUACUACGUCCUAAGGCACUUAGACUACUCGAGGCAGCCAAUCAAAAUGUUCUCAAAGACAGUGAAGAGAUUGGUACAGGCGAACCUAUGGAAGAAUUGCCAGAGACUUUUUCUGGGAGGUCGAAGUUUGAGAGAGAUAGAAGGGGUGGAGAAGAUUCAGAUCAUCCCCUUACUAUUCAGUUUGGUACGUUACCUCCUGUCGUGGCUAAUAACUAUUUACUAGCCAAUGAGUUCAAGAAUAAAGGGAAGGGAAAAGAAGAAAAUGAGGAUAACGAAGAGGAAGCAUGCAUGCUGGAAUAUGAAGAAGGCCAAACUUCUAGAGAGGCCUACAAUGGUGAAGAAGAUGAUGGUAUGACAGAUAUCGAAGAGGAAAUUGAUCUGGAAGCAGAAAGAAGAAGAAGAGGAGUAUCGUACAAUACUCCGUUGAAGCAACUACAUCGAGAGGGAGUUCGUGAAGUAGACUUAUUGGGAGAACCAUUUGGGCGUUCUUUCGAUUAUUACGUACUGUACGGGAUGCCCAAAAGGAAGAAGAGAGUGUCUCACUCUGAAAAGUAUGGAUCACCUCCAAGAAUAAUGCCUCCUCCCACAGGUUGGGUAACUGAAGAAGAAGUAUUAGAAAAUAGUAAAAAGGAAAUUCAGGAGACAGAGGCUCAGUGCGAUAUACUGCACGUUGACUUAUUACAAAAGGGUAACUCGACAGAGGACAAGCAGGAAGUGGAAAUAGAUGUUGUCGAAAAGGUUAUUUUUAAGCGACCAGCCAUGAAAUUGACCAAACACUUGAGGCCAUUGUACGUUAAAACUCUAGUUAACGGUAUAUCUGUGGCAAAAGUGCUUGUUGAUAAUGGAGCAGCUAUAAACACCAUUCCAUCUAGGAUGAUGAGGAAAUUCGCAAAGACAGAAGGUGAUAUGAUCCUAACGGAAGUCAUCCUGACAAGUUUCAAUGGAGGAGCAACUUCAGCUAAAGGGGUUAUGCCAUUGGACAUAACUGUAGGAACAACUACUAGGACCACAGUCUUCUUUGUAAUAGAUGGUCCCACUAGUUACAAUGUGUUAUUAAGAAGAGAUUGGAUACACCGAAGCCGCUGUAUACCCUCAUCGCUCCAUCAAUACCUAGUUUUUUGGAAUGACAAGGGCGAAGCAGAGGUGGUGCAUGCCGAUCAUAGGCCCUUUAUCGCAGAAGCAAACUCAGUGAAAAUGUUCAUAUACGAAGGAAAAUAUGGACCUGUCAGAGUAGUCCAAGAUGGAAAAGAAACUCAGAUUGUCGCGCAGAGUGAAAAGCCGUUUUCGGUGGAUGCACUCACUGAAAUGUUCAGUCAAAUGAGGCCAAACAUAGUGGCCCUAGAGGAGCCAGUAAUUGGCAAAAGAAUAAUCAAGGAGUUUUAAAUGAGUUGUAAGCAAUAAAGGCAAAUGGCCGAUAUUCAGGCUUUCAAAGCCAAAUUAAUGGCUUUCAAUAAAGAAUGGAAGGAUAAGACGAAAGAAGAAGCAACCUUGAAAGCAUUGAGAGAUAAAUUGGCAGUGUUCGAGCUGGAACAAAGUAUUGGUCGAGAAGUCAAUAAGGUGGAUUGUUUAGAAGAAGAAGUACCUACAAGGGAACUGGACGACGAAGUGAUAAGGAUCGUCAAGCCUGGAUACGCUCAAGCACAAGACCCCCUGAUUAAAGUGAAUAUUGGCAGUGAAGGAGAAGAUCGCCCAACGUUCAUCAGCCAAAUGCUCGAUCAAGAGGUUAGUAAUAAAUUAAUCGCUUUAUUAAAGGAGUACAAAGAUUGUUUUGCUUGGGAAUAUGAACAUAUGCCUGGUUUAGAUAGAGAUUUGGUGGAACAUAGAUUACCAACCAAACCUAAUUUUAAACCUCAUAGGCAACCUCCUAGACGUUUCGCUCCUAAUGUACUCCCUGAAAUUAAGGAAGAGAUAGAGCGAUUAUUAAAAGCAGGCUUUAUUAGAAUGGCCAGAUAUGUUGAAUGGUUGUCCAAUAUCGUGUCGUUAUUAAAAAAGAAUGGUAAACUAAGGGUGUGCAUUGACUUUAGGAAUCUAAACAUAGCCACACCUAAAGAUGAAUAUCCAAUGCUCACGGUAGAUUCUUUAGUAGACUCGACUGCCAGACAUAUAAUGUAUUCCUUCAUGGAUGGGUAUUCAUGAUACAAUCAAAUUUAUAUAGUUGAGGAAGAUAUACACAAAACUGCAUUUAGAUGCCUUGGGUCUCUAGGAUGUUUUGAAUGGGUAGUUAUGCCUUUCGGCUUGAAAAAUGUAGGAGCAACUUAUCAAAGGGCAAUGAAUUUGAUUUUUCAUGAUAUGAUAGGCAAGUUUGUUGAAGUGUAUGUAGAUGAUAUAGUGGUUAAAUCCAUUAAAGAAGAGGACCAUUUUGAACAAUUAAGAUGUUCAUUUGAGCGAAUGAAACAAUUGUGCAUUUGGUGUUAAUGCAGGGAAUUUUCUUGAUUUCUUAGUACACAAAAGGGGGAUUGAACUUUAUAAAAAUAAAGCGAAGGCCAUUCUAGAGGCCAAAUCACCUAACAACAAAAAAGAAUUGUAAAGGUUUUUAGGCCAAGUAAACUUUUUAAGACGCUUUAUUUCUAACUGUGCAGGGCGAACUAAAGCUUUUUCGUCGCUUUUAAAGUUGAAAAAGCGGGAAGAAUUUGUCUGGAAAGAAGAGCAUCAAAAGGCUUUUGAAAGCCUAAAGACAUAUUUAUCAAGUCCACCAGUGUUGGUGUCACCAAUCCAAGGACGGCCAAUGAAAGUGUAUAUAUCGGCUCGAAAAGAAUUAAUAGCUGGAAUGGUCGCGCAGGAAGACCAAUUUGAUAAAGAAAUGGCGAUUUACUACUUGAGUAGACGGUUAACAAAAUGUGAAUGUAAUUAUUCUGCCUUUGAAAAAUUAUGUCUUGCAUUGUAUUUCACAUGUACAAAAUUAAGGGCUUAUUUACGGUC